UACGGAGGGUGCUAGCGUUGUUCGGAAUCACUGGGCGUAAAGCGCGUGUAGGCGGCCCACUAAGUCUGAUGUGAAAGCCCGGGGCUCACCCCCGGAAGCGCAUUGGAAACUGAUGGGCUCGAGUCUCGGAGAGGAGGGUGGAAUUCCUGGUGUAGCGGUGAAAUGCGUAGAUAUCUGGAGGAACACCGGUGCGAAGGCGGCCCCCUGGGCCGAACCUGACGCUGAGGCGCGAAGGCUAGGGGAGCGAA
rnacentral:rRNA from 1 species